rnacentral:lncRNA from 1 species
UGAUUGUACCGUGCUCGUGUCAGUUGCUGAAAACAGAGUCGAUAUUUUCCCUUCUGUUCUGUUGAAUUCAUUUUUAGCUCUGGUAAAAUGCCUCAACGUAACUUCUACAAGUUUUCCGUCCGUGUGAAGUAACCUUGUGUUCAGUUUUCAAUUGGCAACUGUGGUGGAUGCCCCAAUGUAAUCGCACAAGUUUUCCAUGUAAAUAGAGGAAUGUUUAAUCCACUCCGUGUUGCACUAAUGAGACUGUUGUUUCUUUCUGGCUCGAAGGUGUUGCAGAUUGAGCAAGUACUAUCAAUGAUCCGCGUGCCGGGCAGACUUGUGGGAGCCCCCCAACUCUGACGUUUUAGAGCAGAAAAACACACCCACCCACCAGACCAACACAGUAUAAGAUAAACGAAACUACUUCACGGACAAUUUUUUCUGAACGACACCUGCACGAUAGCUAAUCUUAGCGCCUACGGCUGUUCAGACUUGCCAAUGGAUGGUGCGAUACGCCAUGUCGUGCCAACUUCGGACGGCAAACAUCGUCUGUGUAGCAAUGCUCCGAGAUAAAAAAGACACGCUCUGACGUUCGUGGUGCAUGCCUUGACACACGGCAUGAUCGAGCCUCGCUGCCGCCGGCAUAUGUACAGCAGGCCGUGACGAGACGACCGCUUUCAACUCGACGGCUGCUCUGUUGAGCUUGAGCCCCGAGGAGCAGGAGCAGAGCCGCCGUUUUUCACUCGCCUGUAGCGUUAUUUGCCGUCGUGCUUCACCGAGUACACGGUACUAGAACAGUACGACACAUUUGACUCGUGUUCGUGUUCGGUUCUUGCGCUUUGCUUGCAGUUUUUUUUUUGGCCGAAGAGGAUAGCCGCUUCCUGUGGGCCGACAAUACCGGCGGCAGCCCCUUGUUUCCAGCCCAUUUAACACGGUUUUCGGAACCUUCUCAUCCGGUUUCCAAGUCGUGGGAACGUUCUUUCAUUUCAUGUAACAUUGUCCAUCAGCACUCAAAAAAAAAA